rnacentral:rRNA from 1 species
UACGUAGGGUGCGAGCGUUGUCCGGAAUUAUUGGGCGUAAAGAGCUCGUAGGCGGUCUGUCGCGUCGGCUGUGAAAUCCCGAGGCUCAACCUCGGGUCUGCAGUCGAUACGGGCAAACUGGAGUACUGCAGGGGAGACUGGAAUUCCUGGUGUAGCGGUGAAAAUGCGCAGAUAUCAGGAGGAACACCGGUGGCGAAGGCGGGUCUCUGGGCCGAAACUGACGCUGGAGGAGCGAAAGCGUGGGGAGCAAACAGG